rnacentral:rRNA from 1 species
CUGUGAGCUCGAUGAGUAGGGCGGGACACGUGGUAUCCUGUCUGAAUAUGGGGGGACCAUCCUCCAAGGCUAAAUACUCCUGACUGACCGAUAGUGAACCAGUACCGUGAGGGAAAGGCGAAAAGAACCCCGGCGAGGGGAGUGAAAAAGAACCUGAAACCGUGUACGUACAAGCAGUGGGAGCACAGAGCAAUCUGUGUGACUGCGUACCUUUUGUAUAAUGGGUCAGCGACUUAUAUUCUGUAGCAAGGUUAACCGAAUAGGGGAGCCGAAGGGAAACCGAGUCUUAACUGGGCGUUAAGUUGCAGGGUAUAGACCCGAAACCCGGUGAUCUAGCCAUGGGCAGGUUGAAGGUUGGGUAACACUAACUGGAGGACCGAACCGACUAAUGUUGAAAAAUUAGCGGAUGACUUGUGGCUGGGGGUGAAAGGCCAAUCAAACCGGGAGAUAGCUGGUUCUCCCCGAAAGCUAUUUAGGUAGCGCCUCGUGAAUUCAUCUCCGGGGGUAGAGCACUGUUUCGGCAAGGGGGUCAUCCCGACUUACCAACCCGAUGCAAACUGCGAAUACCGGAGAAUGUUAUCACGGGAGACACACGGCGGGUGCUAACGUCCGUCGUGAAGAGGGAAACAACCCAGACCGCCAGCUAAGGUCCCAAAGUCAUGGUUAAGUGGGAAACGAUGUGGGAAGGCCCAGACAGCCAGGAUGUUGGCUUAGAAGCAGCCAUCAUUUAAAGAAAGCGUAAUAGCUCACUGGUCGAGUCGGCCUGCGCGGAAGAUGUAACGGGGCUAAACCAUGCACCGAAGCUGCGGCAGCGACGCUGAUGCGUUGUUGGGUAGGGGAGCGUUCUGUAAGCCUGCGAAGGUGUGCUGUGAGGCAUGCUGGAGGUAUCAGAAGUGC